rnacentral:rRNA from 1 species
CCUACGGGAGGCAGCAGUGGGGAAUAUUGGACAAUGGGCGCAAGCCUGAUCCAGCAAUGCCGCGUGAGUGAAGAAGGUCUUCGGAUUGUAAAGCUCUUUUGGCGGGGACGAUGAUGACGGUACCCGCAGAAUAAGCCCCGGCUAACUUCGUGCCAGCAGCCGCGGUAAUACGAAGGGGGCUAGCGUUGCUCGGAAUGACUGGGCGUAAAGGGCGCGUAGGCGGAUUGUACAGUCAGACGUGAAAUUCCUGGGCUCAACCUGGGGGCUGCGUUUGAUACGUAUAGUCUUGAGUGAGGAAGAGGGUUGUGGAAUUCCCAGUGUAGAGGUGAAAUUCGUAGAUAUUGGGAAGAACACCGGUGGCGAAGGCGGCAACCUGGUCCUUUACUGACGCUGAGGCGCGAAAGCGUGGGGAGCAAACAGGAUUAGAUACCCCUGUAGUC